CGAGGAAUCAGAGAGGCUGACAGCAGGGACUGGCUGGCCGCCAGGGAGGAAACCACGCAGACGGCAGGAGCCGGAUGGGAGGAGGCACCCGCGAAACGCGACUCCCAGCUGGCGGAGCCCUCGUAAGCGCCCCACAGGGCAGGACGAUGCCGGUUAUAGCGUCAAAUGGGUGUCAGAGCCCCUGAACACCUGCCCACAGUUUCCAGCAGAGGAAGCAAUGCCUAGAAUCAGCCAGGCCCCCUGGUCUACCCAGCCACGUGGCUCCGAGUGACCACACAGCCGGCAGGGAGCAGCAGGGGCAGGACCAGGACCCGGUGGAAGGAUGCAGGGGUCCCCACGCUGAGAUGAAAAUGCCUGGCUCAUGGCUCUGAGUUUCUGCGUCCUGGUGCCUCCUCCCUCUGCUCCAGCCUCAGCUGGGGGAGGCCCCAGGCUGAGCCAGGCUUCCGUGGAGGUGACCGCCUUGGAGUGCUCGGCUCUGGACACCUGUGAGAGCACCUUAUAUAACGCCCGCUGCAGAGGGGCAAGGACGCCCGGUGGCCCUGACCUUCUGAGAGUCUUCGGGGAGGUCUGGACAGAGAUUGGAUUCUGUUCUGUUCUGGAAGCCACAGGGAUGGGAAGGGGGACUCUCUCCUGAAGGAAUGAGAUGGAGUGUGGAUACAGAGAGACGGGUGGCGGGGAGACGUCGCUGUGGCCAGGGAUGGCCCCUCCGCCUCACGUGGGAGCUUUCAGGUGUCGCCUCCUUGGAGGAGGAGCAGGAAGAUGGAGGGGCUGGGCUUCUCCUGCUCACGUGUGUCUGCAGCCCUGGGCUCACUGCCCCUCACCCGAGCAGGCUGCUUGGUGAAACCACUGUUGCGGAACCACUGUUGAAGAGAUGAAUUAAGAAGCAAAAACCACACUGGGUGGGAAGCGCAGAGUGGCUGAGGGCAGGGAGACAGGGAGACAGACUCUCCCCAGGAAACAUGCAUCACCAUGAGCAAUGUGCCACAGCGCCCAUCACGAAGCCUAGACCACCCCACGUGGACGCCCCACACCUCUCCCGCCGCUGAGCUCCCGUGUCCUUUUCUUUAGGACAGACGGACGCUGGCUGUGUCCAGGAGGAUUGCAAGCCCUCACGCUGGAAACCUGGCUUGGACACCAGUCUCUGCUGAAACCCCAGGACUGCCCGCGCCCAAUCAGGGCCUCUGGUCCCCACGCUGCCACUCACGCUUCUUGCCUCGCCCGCGCUGACCUCCUCUGCACCUCUCACUCCGUGUUGCUGCCCCCACCUCUCAGCCGGUCGCGGAGGCCCCACCUUGCUCCUCCGGCACCCUCCCAACUAGCUCACACAACGGCCGGCAUCGUCUGUACCGUGGAGGGCGUUUCUCACUCCCGGCCUGUGCAGCCCGGACAUUUCUCCUGAAGGCACUAUUCACCCAAACAUGUAUUAAGCUCCUAGAAGUCUGAGACCGUGUCCAUGUCUUAUUGUCCCUUGUACCCUUUCCAGUCCUUUAAGACGACAGCCUACUAAAUUAUUUUAUCAUGAGGAUACUAUGAAGCAUUCCUUGGACGUAUCAGGGCAAAAAUAUCUUUGAUUCAAUAAACAAAGGGUUCAAAGAGGU
ensembl:lncRNA